UCAAAUAUCCAAUGCCGUUAAUGUAACAAUUCGCAUCUGACUUUUUCAAGUUGUAAGUAAUGAAUUUAUUCUGUUGAAUAUUAAUUGUCCAUAUAAUUGUACGCACCUAUACGUAUUUAAUGUAUGUAUUAUUAUACUGUUUUCUGUGUUCCAAUCCCUGUUUUGUAAAGCGUUUAAAUUAGGGCCAUAACGAUAAUAUACCUAUACUAUACACACGCGAUUUAGGUACCGGCUGCCUUUGAUUUUCCGCGGUUAGGUCGUGUUUUUUGUUUUUAUUUUCUUAAAAACAUUAAUAAAUCGUAAUAAUAGUAUUUACUUAAUACGUUUCACGCGAAUGGCCGUAUAUUAAAAUGCCGACCUAAUCCCGCGCAAAAGGAUCGUUUGCAUAAAAUUAUCGUAUUUCAAACCUCCACA